AUUGAACGCUGGCGGCAUGCUUUACACAUGCAAGUCGAACGGUAACAGGUUAAGCUGACGAGUGGCGAACGGGUGAGUAAUGCAUCGGAACGUGCCCAGUCGUGGGGGAUAACGCAGCGAAAGCUGUGCUAAUACCGCAUACGAUCUAUGGAUGAAAGCGGGGGACCGUAAGGCCUCGCGCGAUUGGAGCGGCCGAUGUCAGAUUAGCUAGUUGGUGGGUAAAGGCCCACCAAGGCGACGAUCUGUAGCUGGUCUGAGAGGACGACCAGCCACACUGGAACUGAGACACGGUCCAGACUCCUACGGGAGGCAGCAGUGGGGAAUUUUGGACAAUGGGCGCAAGCCUGAUCCAGCAAUGCCGCGUGCAGGAAGAAGGCCUUCGGGUUGUAAACUGCUUUGUACGGACGAAACGGUCUGGGCUAAUACCCCGGGCUAAUGACGGUACCGUAAGAAUAAGCACCGGCUAACUACGUG
rnacentral:rRNA from 1 species